AGAGCUGCCUCCUGGCUCGUCGGAGACUUCUGCCUCUAGAACUGGGUGUGCAUCCUGGUGACCUCCAGAGGUGACUUUCUGCCUGCGGUCCUGUCUCCGGGCCCCGGGACUAGGAGGGUUUCGGGGGAUGGAACUAGGACUCUCCAUGCAGCGAAGGUCCACCGGCUGCUGGAGGAGACGCAGCAGCAAUAGGUUUUUCCUUUGGGAAAAGCUUUGGGGUUGGGCUGCUCCUCAUGGAGCCAGGGGUAUGGAAAGGGUAACCUCAGAACGCCUCUAAGGACCUAUGAUGUGUGCCAGGGACCUAGCAGUCGGGGUCCAGGUCAGAGUGCCUCUGGCCCCCACUCCUCCAGGGCCGUGGCCUCAUGCAGUCGCUCUGGGGGUGGGUCCCCGAGACACGUCUUGGGUUGGUCCAGACGCAGCCUCUCUCCCCACCUCGGGCCACCUGCCACGUCCUCUGGAAGCCUGGUCUGAUUGGGCAAGAAACAGGGAAGAGAAAAUUGCACCACUUUCACUGCCAAAGCAGGAGAGGAAAUGCCUGUCUAUCAGGAUGUCCCUGAAAAUGAGAGCUUGCCAAGGGCUAGGGCCACCCGUGGUGCUGCCCCUGGCCCGGCCCCCCGAUGAGCUCCUUGUGUAGCUGUGUGUGGUGGAGCCAAGACUCAGACCAGGGGGCUGGGGCAGGAGGCAGCCAGCCACGUGCUGGGGGCUCUCCUGGGAGGUGCUUCUGCCAUGAAGACAGGCAGGAGGGCUCGUCUCGGGCUUGUCCCCGCCUCGAGGUGCCUGAUCCCUUGCUCGGAAUCUCAGCGUUGUUUCCCUGGGUGAGAUUAAGCACAUGGCCCAUAGUCACGAGACCUGCGUUUUGUACUUUUCCAUGAAAAGGGAAGUGGCCGGGUCCCAAACCCUGGAGCCCACUGGGCGGGGCAGGAAGCUGGGAAAUCUUCCCCAACCUCAGCCAGUCCCCCAAUGAUGCAGGCAGGGUAGAGGGGGCGCUCACCCACCAAUGGUGAUGGCUGGCACGGGGCACCCACAAGGGCCCAAAUGCCCCAGGGCCCCGCCUCUUGCACCCUCACCUCUCCUUAGGAUACAGAACCCCACAGUGGGGGGGGACAUCCUAGUCACGUGGCAGAGGUCGUCCCCUCUCCUUCAGCUGACAGACCCUCAGGCUGGCCUCAGAGUCACUGCAUCCCCCUGAAAAGCCCCCUCUCAGUCUUCCCCACAUGGAGCUCCUCAGUUCCGGCCCAGGCAUGGUUCAGGGACAGAGUGCCCCCGGAAGCUCCCUGGUCUGGUCCUCCCCAGGUCACCCUGUGCCCUCCCCGACCCUUUCGAGCCCCCAGUGUGGAAGCCAUUGACGGUCCCCACUGGUCCCUUGCAGGACAAGUCAGGGGUCCCCCCCCGCCACAGCUCUGAGCUCCAAGCGGGCUCAGAGGAAACCGAGACCUGUGUGGUGGCCUGGAGAGGCCACGGGGAAAGAGAUCCGAGCCACAUCUGCAACCUACACCACAGCUCACGGCAAUGCCAGAUCCUUAACCCACUGAGCGAGGCCAGGGAUCGAACCCACAACCUCAUGGUUCCUAGUUGGAUUUGUUUCCACUGCGCCAGGAUGGGAACUCCAGGUCUCUGUUCUGAUGUCUCUUGACGCUGUACUUCUGGGCCAGAUCCCAGGAUGGAGGUUCAGACCCUAGAAUCCAACUGUUUAUGAAUGUCUCAGCUUUUGAGCCCCAAAGCACCCCAAAACUCCUCCUCUCUGCCCACUGUCUCGCCUACCCAUCUGGGUGGAUGGGUCCCCCAAGUCCAUGGCUCAAAUCAGAAGCCCUGGUGAGAAGGGGGUGGGAGGCAGCCUGGACCCCUCUACCCCUCCCAGGGGAUUUGGGGGGAAGCUGUGAGCUCAGUCUCCUUUUCACAAGACAGCUUUACCCGCAUCUACAGGCAGGAGAGUCCAUAGCUACACACCCACUUCUCCCAGCCUCCCCUGCUCCUCUGGGCCAGGCUGUCACCUCUCCCUGCAACUGCCUUCUCACUGGCCUGCCCGCCCAGGACAGCCUUCCUGCUGCGCGUUGGGACUUGCCAGCAAACAGGUCCACCCACUCAAUCCCUUUCCUGAGAGGCGCUGGUGGCUCCUUGGUCCUGGGAGCCUAGAAAGCGCUUUCUCCUUUUUCCUGGUAAAUCCUUACCCUGCAGAGGCCCCAGCUCAGAUCUUUAAUUCAGCUGGGUUUUAUUUUGGAAGAUGAUAUGAACUUUUCCCCUAAAACCAAUAUCUGUUUUUGUUUUUGUUUUGCCGAAAGGUGCAGGGGUAUGAUAUGGGAUCUUGGUUCCCAGCCCAGGGACUGAACCUGGGCUGCAGCAGUGAAAGCGCCCUGUCCUAACCACUACACCACCAGGGAGCUACCCGAAUUACCCGGAAUUACUUCUGUAAUCAGGAAAAAAGCAAAAGUUGU
rnacentral:lncRNA from 1 species